AUCCAAACCGUAAAUACAAUUCAAAUCGAUCAAAUAUGAUUUGUUCGAUCGGUUUUCAGGUUGCAUGUAUAGGUUGGUUGCGUUUUUUUAUGUAUCCAAUUCAAACUGAAUUGAUCGAUUAGUCUAAAAAAUGCCCCUAAAACCGAACCAACCACCCCAGCUCCAACGUACGAAAAUCCUAAAAUUUUUUCGAAGUCCAAAUUCCCAUUUCACUUAAACCCACACCUAACUACAGUGUUUGAAUGCCACCUCCAUUCUCCGUCCAAAAACAACCACCGACUUCACCCAUUCAGGUUCAAAAUCUACAUUCAAAAUAACACAAAAUCACGCAUUCCGGUCAUCCCUGACUUUCCAGCGAUCUGAAUAUGCCCAGCGCCCAUGCUCACACUGGCUAGCAACGGCGUCAACAUCGUGCCUCAAAUCUUGUCAUUCAUGAGCGUAUCGCGCCUGCGCCACUGCCCCUAACCAUCAGGUCUGGUCAUCAUGCGCCUCAUCGAUCAACCAAGAACUCAGCGAGCCCUAUUCCAUCUUCACCUACCUAGGUCGUCUAUCUCUACUCCCAAAUCCCCUUUCUGAAGCGAAUGUGUAGGAACGGUGGUGGAAGAAGCAUCAUUAUAAAUAAAGAAAAGGCGAAGGCUAUUUUCAGUGAAGCGAAGAAAUGUCAGGGGUCCAAAAGUAGUUUCGCUCGAUGCCCCUUUGUAGAGUCGCUUGGUAUUAGAGGUUUGAUUCGCCCAGCAUUGAGCAUUUUCAUUUCGAUGGCACUCAGCAAACCACCUCGACCUCCACACACAGGGUUUCAAUUUCUAUGCUCCAUUUUCUUCUGUCAGACAUGAGAGUAUCGCAUCUUGGGAGUCGAUAAGUGGAUUGGUAUAUAUGAUGGUAGUCUUGUAGGACUAGUGAAGAUGCUGGUGCUGCAACCCUCUUGAAAGGAGUACUUCUUUUCUUCAACCUUAAAAGUGCUCUUUUGGAGGUUUUGUUGGUUGUGUACUUUUUACUCUUGUGUCUAUCAUAUCUGUUUAUAACCUGCUUUCGAAUUGCAGGAGAUUUCGGUGACAAGUCUGUUUGCUGUUUUUUUAAUUGCCUAUGAAAUUAAGGACAGAUUUCUAAUUUGAUAGCAUAACUUUUCUUUGCUAAUAUAGAGUGCUUUAGUGUUAUAUUAACUUAUGGAUGAUUCUUCUUUAGUUUUACCAAUGUUGAAGCUAGAACUAAACAAAUUAGACUGCCCACUUGCCAAACUGCCUCCUCAUGUAAGGAAAUUUGGUAAAGAAACAGAUUCAGACUACAAAUGUGUAAGCAUUUAGGUUUGUUAUCCAGCAGCUUAGAUUAUAUUAAACAAAUUUUAAGUAUAGAAAGAGUUUCUUACUUUCAAAUAAAAAGCCUUAGAAAAAUCGUAGUGUUGGUAGAUAUUUUUGGUUCCUGUGGUAGAGGUUGCUGCAAAACCUUUUGAAGAUGGUAAUUUGAAGAGUUCAACAAAUUCUAAAAGAACCAUAUCUGGAAAUUCAAAUUCAGAGACUGAAGUGGUGGUUGUAGAUGAGUGCACCUGAAGCGCUACGAUAUUAACUUUUUUGGUAUUUAUUUCAUUCUCUUUUUCAGUUUGAUUGGGAGGGGUGAGGUUUGGGUACCAAUUGGAAUGCUUGAAAAUCUGAAAGUUAAUUGCAGUGAGUGUUUAGCAAGGAGAAUUGAAGCUUGCUAAUUGCAGUUGGUGUUCUGCAAGGAGAAUUGAUGUCUUUGUUAUCUGAGGUCCAUCUUUGGGUGAUGUGGGAAAUGAUCCAUAAUCAUUGAGUUUCAUGGAUGACUCUCUUUUGUGUGCUGAUAUGCCCUAGUGGAACUUUAGAAAUAACAAACAUUAAUCAUUUUUUAUUUUUUAUUUUAUUUUUUAAGUUCUGAUAUACCAUUGUUGCUAAAUUCAUAUCUUGUUAUAUUGGAUUCAGCGUGGAUUUUGUUUUAUCAUCCAUGAAUGUGAAAGAGUUGAGGAACUUAUUAUAUUUGUAGGCAUGGCUCUGGUUAUGUUGAUAAUUUGGGGUUCGCUUUAUUAACGGUGUGGAACAUGAAGACAUAGAAUCUCAUAGUAGGUGCUUCUGUGACCUGGAACAUCAUAUUUGCAAGCAAUUGCCAUUUUUGUAUUUGAUGCCUUAAUAAUCUUUUGCCUUUCAUGAAGUCGGUCCUUCCUUUUGGUAAAGAUCCACUUACUAUUACAUCCCUAAGUUUCAACCACAAUGGAAGGAUCUUAGCAGCGUCUGCAACUGAUGGAAUGAUUUAUAUGUUUGGUAUCCAUGAAUAACAAUUUUGAGGUUUUUUUUAUCAUAGCUUCCUGUUAGAUGGUAUAUCCUAUUGAAUAGAAUACCAUAUUUUAUCAAUUUCUGCAAUUAGGAGUGUAGAUGAUGAGUAGAAAACCAUGUUUUGAGUCGUACUGUUAAAGCAACCUCAAACUGCUUGUGCGUAAGGAGUUUUUGUCUUCUUAAAAAUGAGUAGUGCACUGAUGAACAGUGAAGUUUGUGUGCCUAGAUGCCAGUGUAUGGCUGUGCAUAAACCUUAAAAAUAAAUAGAUGUGUCAGCUGGUAAACUACUGGAUGGCGUGUACAUGAUUCUGCUAUGAGCUCUUCUUUUUUGGCCUGGAUGUUACCAGCAUUUGCAGCCUUGAGUCAGACAGAAAGGCAAGUUUGUUUCAGUACUUGAUGGCUUGAAUUUAACCAUGUAGUGAGAUACCGUUCUUCUAUCUUGAAAUUCUUAUAUUCUAGAAUUCUGCCAUUUUAUUCCAUGUGUGUACUUACACAUAACUGGUUAUAUAUGCCAGAUUUUUUAAUGGACUUUGCAAAACUAAGGUCAAGUCCUUCAGUCAAGGAAUUGCAGCAGGUACAUGCAUUACUUGGCACCUAUCAACAGUAAAUAAUUGUUUGUGCACUAGAUUGACUAACUUAUUUCAAUGGCUACUUUGGUAUCUCAACUUAUUUCAUGAGUUGGUUCUACAGAUUAUGACUUUGCAAUGAUAAUGUUGUGAUACACAGUUGACAUCUUCCAAUGAUGUUGUGUAUGAGAUGGACAAUGCAACUUUUGGUCCAGCUACAUAUUUUUGUUAGCAGCACUAAGAGCAUGCAUUUAUGCAAAAGUAAUGUUUUAUUUGCUUAGUUAUACGUUUGCCAUAAAAGUAGUUCACAGUUUUGACCUCAUAUGCAGGGGUUACUGCUAGAAUCACUCCCAAGACAGGAUAAUUCACACUUUUAAUCUCAUAUGCAGGGGGGCCAAGUUUUCUUUAAAUGUGAACUUUUUGUUUAAAAAUGUUGUCUUCUAUAGUUAUUAUUAGUUUCGUAUUACAUUUUUCCUUUCGGUUUUCUUGUCAUUUAUCUAAUUGUAUGGCUCUUUUUAUUUCCUUUUUGUUUGAUCAUUCUUGAAUCAUAUAAGCACAUAUGCAGGAGAGUUACUGCAGCAGUGGCAAUAACAACAACCGACCUUGUUAGUAAGAAUGCUGCAAUUGAAUCUCAGGUGUGCAUAAAUUUGUUUCGCAUAUCAUUUUUUUAGUAUCAUGACUUUGACAUAUGGAUAUUAGAUUAGAAGUUCUUUUGGUUAGAAUGGAUAUUUGCUGUGGCAUAAGUAACUAGAAUUAGAACAAGUAUUACUCCUUUGGUUAAGAGAAUCUUUCUUAUUAAAAACUGUAUGUCAUUCCUAUUGUUUGACUUACAAAAGUUGCAUUUUUUUUAGUUUCACAUUGUAAUUUUUAGGAAUUCGGACAUGAAUUUUGGAAGUGUGUUAUUUUUGGACUUUUCUUAGUAGGGAAUGUUGAAUUUGUUGUAGCUCCAUUUGAGGCUGAUGACCAUUUAACAUACCUGCCCAGCCUUGAAGUAAAAAAAAUGUGGCAUUGAGACUGUGAUUACUUAGGUUAGUGAUCUAGUGGCAUAUGGUUGCCUAGCUAUAAGUUUUUCCACUCAACUUUGAAUUGAUGCUGAUGGAGGUCUAGUACUCUCCUGUUUGACUUAUUUUUCAUCACCAUUGAAAUUAUUGUUUGUGUUUUAUUUUGAUUUGUAUUGUUUCGAAGCAGAUUGUAUUUAAGAUGGAUCAAUUUGGCAAUGGUGAAGAGAUAGUGCUAUGACUCUUAAACCUUCCUUUCAAACUUUUGAUGAGGAAUUGUUCACAGGUGAGUUCACUGCAUCACUUUGAGCUUGGAGCAUCCUUGUUUCUUUGAGUUGCUGAGAUUUUUUAGUUCUCAUUAUCCCUUAAUUCAAGUUGAGAUUUUUUGAGGUGCUGAGAUAUUAGAGAUGCUGAAAAUAUUGCAGUCGAUGGUCAACAUUGGAAAGGAAAGAGCAAAAGUUAGCCUUCUGUUUACGUGGAUGCAUAUAAAGAUGGUUAGAAACUAGGCAAGCAUCAUGCAUUUUUUGUUUUUCCCGUUUCAGGUUAAGCUUAUUGUAUUUGGUGCACUUUGUAUAAUGUACUUAAUUUUGGAAUUUUUAUGUAAAAGAUAUUUGGUGGUAAUAAAACAUUAUUGAUUUUAUGUAAA